GAUGAACGCUGGCGGCGUGCCUAAUACAUGCAAGUCGAGCGAACAGACGAGGAGCUUGCUCCUCUGACGUUAGCGGCGGACGGGUGAGUAACACGUGGAUCACCUACCUAUAAGACUGGGAUCACUUCGGGAAACCGGAGCUAAUACCGGAUAAUAUAUUGAACCGCAUGGUUCAAUAGUGAAAGACGGUUUUGCUGUCACUUAUAGAUGGAUCCGCGCCGCAUUAGCUAGUUGGUAAGGUAACGGCUUACCAAGGCGACGAUGCGUAGCCGACCGGAGAGGGGGAUCGCCCGCAUGGGAACGGAGACGCGGUCCAGAGGACUAAGGGAGGGAGCAGUAGGGAACGUGCGGCAAUGGGCGAAAGCCUUACGGAGUAAGGCCGCGUGAGUGAUGAAGGUGUUCGGAUCGUAAAACUCUGUUAUUAGUGAAGAACAAAUUUGUAAUUAACUAUGCACGUAUUGACGGUACCUAGUCAGAAAGCCACGGCUAACUACGUG
rnacentral:rRNA from 1 species